GCCUCCAAAUCCCCCUCAUUUCCUUCCUACACUAAGACUGGCCUGACUAGGCUCCAGUCUGCAGAGUUCUCCUCUUCAAACAGUGAUAAAGGGAGUCAAAAGUUCCAGAAU